rnacentral:rRNA from 1 species
GACGAACGCUGGCGGCGUGCUUAACACAUGCAAGUCGAGCGGUAAGGCCCUUUCGGGGGUACACGAGCGGCGAACGGGUGAGUAACACGUGGGUGACCUGCCCUCAGCUCUGGGAUAAGCCUGGGAAACCGGGUCUAAUACCGGAUAUGACUCCAUGACGCAUGUUGUGGGGUGGAAAGCCUUGUGCGGCUGAGGAUGGGCCCGCGGCCUAUCAGCUUGUUGGUGGGGUGAUGGCCUACCAAGGCGACGACGGGUAGCCGGCCUGAGAGGGCGACCGGCCACACUGGGACUGAGACACGGGCCCAGACUCCUACGGGAGGGCAGCAGUGGGGAAUCUUGCGCAAUGGGCGAAAGCCUGACGCAGCGACGCCGCGUGAGGGA